rnacentral:SRP_RNA from 1 species
GCCAGGCGUGGUGGCGCAUGCCUGUAAUCCCAGCUACUCGGGGGGCUGAGGCAGAAGAAUUGCUUGAACCUGGGAGGCGGAGGUUGUGGUGAGCUGAGAUCACACCACUGCACUCCAGCCUGGGUAACAGAGCGAGACUCUGCCUCAA